AAUAGUUGGGAAAAGAGAAUCUGCAAUAGGCUAGAGCUGCUAUAAGGAGAGACGUCCCAGUUCUCUUGGAUACCUGAGGGACUGUGAGUAUGCAAGACUGCUCUCCACAUCAAGCAGCACUUUGAUGUGCACAGAAGUAUCACAUCAAGAUUUCAGUUGGUUUCUCAGGGCUGAACAUCUGUGGUGGCAACCUGGCAGGGCAGCGAGCUGGCUUUCCAGGCCAUUUCUGCUUGACUCCCCUGCAGAAAGAGGUGCAGCACCUUUCCAGCUUCCAGCUUCUGACAUGACUUGCAGUCUGCUACUGGCAACAAUCCAGUGCUUGAAGAAAAUGCCAACCAACCCUUAUGAAAUCACUGCGUCUUCUAUUACUACUGAUAGUAGUGUCUCCUCGAGUGAUCUGUUUUGUAACCUCACCUUAUACUUCAGCUCUUCAAGAUCUUCACAUCAUGCAACCCUUCUCUCUGCUGAUGAGAGAACUGAGGUCUCCAGAGCCCACGGCAUGGAUCCCCUUUCUGCUGUAACUCUCCCUGCUCCCAAGGGAGGCUUAAGGCUGUCUCAGAGCCCUGCUGGUCUGGAAGUCACCAACCAAAGACAAGGUGAGCUGCUAAUACACCUGUACCAAGUCUUCUGACCUCUCCCCCAUGGCCUCAACAGCCCCUGAGCCAACACAUCCAGCAGGUAACUUGACAGCAUUGUCCUCACGUUAUCCCUUCCACAUUUUCUCUUUCCAGCCCCAGAAUGUGGACGGGUAAAACUUUCUGUGUCUGCUCCAUCAUCAGAGCUCCCUUUCCUCACAUUCCUACAUUGUUCCUCCCCAGUCUUUCCCUGAAUGCUGAUUAUGACAUGUGCUAACUAGCCCCUGGCAUUCCCAUGGGUGUACAAGCCAGGCUCCCUUCCCUUCUCCUGGCCAAAGGUACAUUUUUACUUGAAAUUAGUCUUUUCCCAAACCUUUUGACAUAGGAUCAUGGGGUACAACAGAGUCUGGAUGAACAUGAGGACCUGGGAGACAAGUGCUGAUGCUGGUUUUUAAAGAGAGAAAGUUACUUUGUUCAUACUGAGAAAUGCUGCCUCUCAGGACCUUUCUGGUACAUCCCAAAUGUCCAUGCUGUUCCCUAGAGAGAGGCUUUGGUCCCGUGUGUGCUCUUCUCUUCAUGUAACUAAGAGCACUUUGAGAGGGGUGGAAAAAGAACAUUGUACCAGUCUCAGCCCCCUCAACAGCCACUGACUCAUAAAUGUGCACUUUGACAAGCCCGUGAUUUGAUCUGCCCAUUCCAAACCCCUUAGCAACAUGUGGCCUUGGAAAUACCCACCUGGAUGGGACCCCGAGACGUCAUGUCAUACAUCCUUCUCCCCGAGGCAGGAGCAACUCUACCUGCAGCAUUCCUGAGUGGUAUUCUGUCUAACCUGUUCUUAAAACCUCCAACUAAAGAGCUGAGGAGGCUCUGGGGGAGAAUCCAGAGUGUUCCAAGGCUCUUCCAGUAUUAUCAUAUCCCACCAUUAUGAAAUGAUCUUGGUGGCUCUUUUAUCUUCCUGUGAUGUACCAGGAAGUGACCUUCCGCCUGCAUUGAUUCUGGGUCACUGUGGGUUGGUUACACCAGGGCUGUUGCGUGGCACAGUCCCAGGUCUCAGUGCUCGUGGCCCUGCUUCAAACCUACUGAUUACCACAAGGGAAUUCCAUUGCUGUUACAGUCCACAUCAGCUGCCUCCACAUGUCUGCCUGCAUUGGCACUCCCUCCCCCAUCUUCAAGGAGCACCAGCCCAGCCAAAACACC